CGUAGGAACCUGCCCCGUAGUGGGGGACAACUUAUGGAAACGUAAGCUAAUACCGCAUACGCCCCCGCCUUUAAGGGACGGGGGGAAAGCGGGGGACCUUCGGGCCUCGCGCUAUGGGAUGGGCCUGCGUGGGAUUAGCUGGUUGGCGGGGUAAAGGCCCACCAAGGCGACGAUCCCUAGCUGGUCUGAGAGGACGACCAGCCACACUGGGACUGAGACACGGCCCAGACUCCUACGGGAGGCAGCAGUGGGGAAUAUUGGACAAUGGGCGGAAGCCUGAUCCAGCAAUACCGCGUGUGUGAAGAAGGCCCGAGGGUUGUAAAGCACUUUCAAUGGGGAGGAAAAAGCGUAGGCCAAUACCCUGCGUAUUGACAUUACCCAUACAAGAAGCACCGGCUAACUCCGUGCCAGCAGCCGCGGUAAUACGGAGGGUGCGAGCGUUAAUCGGAAUUACUGGGCGUAAAGCGUGCGUAGGCGGCUUGCCAAGUCAGAUGUGAAAGCCCUGGGCUCAACC
rnacentral:rRNA from 1 species